GCAAGUGCAAACACCCAGUGUCAGUAGAGCCCUGAGGAACAGCAAGGGCUCUUAAGCAUCAGCACACCCCCCCAGCUUCUCUGACCUUUGGACUCCUAGGUGUUACGAGAAGAAUCAAAGAGACGGUGAGAAACAAAAUCACUCAAGCACGAAGUCAAGACAGGGCCUCAUUGUGUAGCCUUGGCUUGCACGAAGCCUGUACUGAAGACCAGGCUGUCUUCAUCUUCUAUCCUCUUUAUCUUCUCAUCUCCUGGUCUCUCAGUCAAGACCCUGGCACGGAAGAAGGACCUGCAGGGACAGAUUUAAAAAAAAAUGAUGUAGCCCGUGAGACAGACGAAAAUCAAAGCAAGUACUAAGGAAGUGGACAUGAAACAUGGACACAGCAGAAUCUCACUCAUCUGAAGCUAUACCUAUGGUGCAGUCAAAUUGACUCAUACAAACAACUAUCACCACUGAGAUAGAGGAGAUACAAGACUGCUUACGGAGAGAAAGUGCAAUUAUGCAGGAAUAAAGAUUGUGCCUCUUCCUGUAGCUUUCUGGCAGUUGAAACAGUGAUGUCAGAGGAAGUGGGAUUUCCUCCUUAACCUCAUGUUUGAAGAAGGAAAAGACUAAAACCUGUUAUCGGUGAGAGGAGGAUCUAGAGCCCAGGGGAGGAGAUUGUGCACUAUGAGACUGUCUGUCAGACUGAGGUGCUGCAGGCUGUGGAUCCCAGACAAGGCUAAGGGGUGGAAGCACAGGUUGGCAAUACCUAAGUAUGCAUACUUUUCUUCCACUUAAAAAACUGCCAGUCAGUCCUCUGAAGACAAUGUUGAAGAGCCACUGAAUACCUUAUUUGUUGAGCUUGCAUUUCUGUUUUGUGUUUAUGAAAAUAUAUACUUGAUACAUUUUAUGAACACAAGCUUUAUAUGUUAAUAUUUUGUCCUUAUCGUUAUCUAAAAGGGCCAGGUGGUAGUGCAUACCUUUAAACCUAGCACUUGGGAGGCAGAGACAGGAGGAUCUCUG